rnacentral:rRNA from 1 species
CAUGCUUUUGACGGGUAACGGGGAAUUAGGGUUCGACUCCGGAGAGGGAGCCUGAGAAACGGCUACCACAUCCAAGGAAGGCAGCAGGCGCGCAAAUUACCCAAUCCCAACAUGGGGAGGUAGUGACAAGAAAUACUGAUAUAGGGUCCUAUAGGAUCUUGUAAUUGGAAUGAGUACAAUUUAAACCCAUUAACGAGGAACAACUAGAGGGCAAGUCUGGUGCCAGCAGCCGCGGUAAUUCCAGCUCUAGUAGCAUACAUUAAAAUUGUUGCAGUUAAAACGCCCGUAGUUGAAGUUUAGGUCCUUAUCAUCUGGUCUGCCUCACCGCUAGUACUGGUAUGAUUGGGCCUUUUUUCUUGGUAAACUGUUAUGCCCUUUAUUGGGUGUGGCAGUGAACUAGGACUUUUACUUUGAAAAAAUUAGAGUGUUUAAAGCAGGCUUUUGCUCGAAUACCUUAGCAUGGAAUAAUGGAAUAUGACGAGUGGUUGUUUUUCAUUGGUUUUCACGACUACCGUAAUGAUUGAUAGGGAUGGUCGGGGGCAUCGGUAUUCGAUC